UGAAUUAUAAUUUUUGUUGGUUGGGAAAAAGACACACAUACGUGACAGUGCAUCACUUCACCUCAUCAUUUCAUUUCAUCUCAUCAUUUUAUCUCAUCAUUUCAUCUUAUCCCAUCUCAUCUCAUCAUUUCAUAUCAUCUCAUCAUUUCAUCUCAUCAUUUCAUCAAAUCUCAUCUCAUCUCAUUUCCAUUUCAUUUUCAUUAUUUCAUUUCAUCAUUUCAUUUCACUAUUUCAUUUCAUCUAAUUUCAUUUAUUUCAUUAUGUCAUUUCAUAUAUUUCAUUUCAUGUCAUGUUUUUGAUAUCAUUUUUCAUAUCAUUUUUCAUCUCAUCAUCUCAUCUCAUCUCAUCAUUUCAUCUCAUUUCAUCUCAUCAUUUAAUCUCAUUUCAUUUCAUUUCAUCUCAUCAUUUCAGCUCAUCAUUUCAUGUCACAUCAUUUCAUUUCAACAUUUCAUUUCAUCUCAUCAUUUCAUCUCAUCUCAUC
rnacentral:lncRNA from 1 species